UUGUCCUGGCAACUCUUAUACCAAGACUCAGUGAACAGAAGUGUUUGGAUUUCUUCUCCUGGUGAUAGGCAACAGAUGUCACUUGCUUGACACUCUUUGAAAUAAUUUUCUGCCUUGAAACUGAAAACUGAAAGGAUCUCUUGCCUAUGCUACCUCCAUUGCCAAAUUUUCUCAGUUCCCCAGGUUGUGACAACCUAAAAUAUCUCCAGAUGUUGCCAACUGUUCCCUAGGAAGCAAAUUCCUCCCAUUUGCGAACGCUUGGCUUAGAGUUUCCUAAGACCUGGUGAUUAUUCUCUCCUGGUCACGGCCAGACUGGACUCAGUCUGUGCAAGGCUGGGUUCUCUUCAUCUACUUUAAUGAAAAUGACCCGUCACAACUGAUGAAACGUAGAGGCAGACAUUGGGAAUCGAGCUAAUUCUGUUAAAGCAGACAAUAAAGAGCUUUGCAAAAAUGUAAAACAAUGUAACUCUUCCCACCAAGUUAUUUCAUUUGGAAAAAUAGUUAUUUUUCAUGAAAAUAUGUUAUACAAACAUAUAAUGGAUUUCCUAUCAUUAUUUUUAAAUGAAUUAGUUUAUAAAUAUUUAAGAGUGUUUUCAGUUUUAAUUUCUAGUAUGGCAAAUAUUGACAGGCAUAAUCUACAUAAACAAAUACUCUUAGGGGUUCUCAAUUUUUAAGAGUAUAAGGGAUCUUGAGACCAAAACUUUUUAGAACCGCUACUUUAUUGCACUUCAGCUCUGGUUCCUAUCCCAAAACUGCCACACAAAUGUGUGAAGUUGCUCAAGCAUUGACUGAAUUCCAGGUACUUUGUUAAAGUGUUUUACAUGGAGUUUAAUUAUUGUUGAUCCUGGGAGGUAGGUAUAAUUAUUAUUCACAUUCACAGUCAAAGAAACCGACGUUUAGAUACUCGCCCAGCACCACACAGUUAGAAAGUGGUAAAGUAGAAAUUUAAAUUUAGGUAUCUGACUCCAGAAAUCUCACUCUUAUCAGCUUUACAACCCAACCCAGCUGAAAAAAAAAACAAAAUUAAAAACCCCAGAAAAAUAAAUUCCUUUUCACAAACAUACUCUAAUUCCUUAGGGAGCGGUGGGUGUUGGAGCUUCAUUUUACAAACUUUAUUGUUGUUUUGGUUAGAAUCCUUUCUCUGCUCCGUCAGUCCACCUUGAGGAGCAGAAGCUCCCCUGACCCGGGGCUGCAGCUCCGGCCUUGUCAUGAAGAUCCCCCAGGUUGUGCUCCUUAGUCCUUAAUUCACAGGCAUCCAUCAGCGGUGCUCCACAAUUUCCUGGAGGCCUUCUUCUGUGCUGCUCUCUCCGUACAGUCUUCGAGUCUCUUCGAAAUGUGUAUUUCUCAGUUCUCCAGGGGAUCCAAGGUUAUCAUCAGUCCACGGCUCAGCCUGAAUAAGCACCUGGAGUCCAUGACUGGAUCGAGUGUGCAUUUGGCAGUAAAGCCAGGCUGGGAGUGGGCUCAUGAUGCUGUACAUCUCACAGCCCAGAAACUCAGGCAGGAGGUGCUCUCCUCUGGGCGUUUCAGAGCCCACGGUCACACUCACGUGGGCGCGUGAACAGGAGUCCCUGUGUCAUGCGAUAACCGAUCCCCUUCUCACAACUGUUUUAAGUUGCGAACAUAAAGUCUGAGAUGCCUUCACUGGGGGCUCGGUUUGUGUGAAAGCAAUCGGCGUUUCAAGACAAGGCACCUGGAAAAUUUUCUCAUAAUAGGAAUACUGUAAAUAUUUAUUUAAGCUUCCUCCACCCUCCACUGUCAUUUCAGAAGCAAGAAAAUUCAAGAGGCCAGAUUUUUAUACAUGAUAUUCGUAAAGUAUACUACGGACACUGGAAGUGUAAACAUGUCUGCUCUGCAAUUUAGCUCUCAGUAGAAAUUACUUCUUUGUGACUGAGAUGGUAUUUCAGAUUAGAGAUGGAGAGUUAUGGCAUUUACCUACUUUGCCCAAAGUCACACAGUUAGCAAAUGAUUUUGGAAUCAGACAGAACUUGGUUUAAACCUCAACCCUGAUUAGUAGUUUUUUGUGCAAUUGCCGCAUGUUGCCCAACGUCUCUAAGGCUCUAUUUCUCCGUCUGUAAUAUGAGGAUGGUUCUUAUGAUGAUUCAUUGAAAUAAGGAACAUCCAGUUCUCAGCAGAGUGUCUGGGACAUAACAGGGGCUCAGUAAAUUCAGCUGUAAUGAUAAUUAUAUGGUUACCUAGAUUAUCGUUUUACAGCUCUUAUCUGUUCUUGUGACCAUUCCUUUACUUAAUGGCACCAAUGGACAGUGAGCUGCAUUGAGUCAACACCUAGCACAAUACUUGAUAUUUGGGGUAUUGAAUAAGUGCAUGAGUGAAUGAAUGAAUGAACAAUGAGAUCAUGCCACAGGAGAUUUUCAUUGACCAGUAUAUUUCUAAGUUGAAAUGCUGGGAAAACUCAGUGAAAAUACUUGAGGCUCAGCAGUGACUACUGAGUGCAAACAGUGAUGAAGAUGGUUGAAGAAGGUCCUUGGGUAGGAAGGAAGCCGGAGGGCGGAGUCUGUGACCCAUGCGGUCACCUGGACACAAGAGAGAGACUGAUGGCAAACCCUUGCUGGAGGUCUAUUAAAAAAGGCCUAUAUGAAGGAAAUUUUUAUUUUUUUAUCUUUUUGGUGAGGAAGAUUAGCCAUGAGCAAACAUCC